rnacentral:pre_miRNA from 1 species
AUCUUGCCACGCUGAAUGUGCUCGUUAGUCAUAACCACCCAUAUCGUCAAGGGCAUAUGACUAGAGACACAUUCAGCUUGGCUCACAU